UACGGAGGGUGCAAGCGUUAUCCGGAUUCACUGGGUUUAAAGGGCGCGCAGGCGGACUGGUAAGUCAGUGGUGAAAGCCCUGGGCUCAACCCGGGAACUGCCAUUGAUACUAUCAGUCUUGAAUAUCGUUGAGGUUUGCGGAAUGGGUCAUGUAGCGGUGAAAUGCAUAGAUAUGACCCGGAACACCUAUUGCGAAGGCAGCAGGCUAAGCGAAGAUUGACGCUGAGGCUCGAAAGCGUGGGGAUCAAACAGG
rnacentral:rRNA from 1 species